ensembl:lncRNA
ACAGUGCAGAGUAAAGACCCAGUGUUGACAGUACAGAGUAAAGACCAGUGUUGACAGUGCAGAGUAAAGACCCGUGUUGACAGUGCGGAGUAAAACCCAGUGUUGACAGUCCGGAGUAAAACCCAGUGUUGACAGUGCAGAGUAAAGACCCAGGUUGACAGUCCGGAGUAAAACCCAGUGUUGACAGUGCAGAGUAAAGACCAGUGUUGACAGUGCAGAGUAAAGACCAGUGUUGACAGUGCAGAGUAAAGACCAGUGUUGACAGUCCGGAGUAAAACCCAGUGUUGACAGUGCAGAGUAAAACCCAGUGUUGACAGUGCAGAGUAAAGACCAGUGUUGACAGUCCGGAGUAAAACCCAGUGUUGACAGUGCAGAGGAAAACCCAGUGUUGACAGUGCAGAGUAAAGACCCAGUGUUGACAGUGCAGAGUAAAGACCCAG